rnacentral:rRNA from 1 species
UACGUAGGGUGCGAGCGUUGUCCGGAAUUAUUGGGUGUAAAGAGCUUGUAGGCGGUUUGUCGCGUCUGCUGUGAAAAUCCGGGGCUCAACCCCGGACUUGCAGUGGGUACGGGCAGACUAGAGUGUGGUAGGGGAGACUGGAAUUCCUGGUGUAGCGGUGAAAUGCGCAGAUAUCAGGAGGAACACCAAUGGCGAAGGCAGGUCUCUGGGCAGUUACUGACGCUGAGGAGCGAAAGCAUGGGUAGCGAACAGGAUUAGAUA